UGCACUGCUCGGUUUGGUGUCAUCUGCAAACUUGCUGAGGGCGCACUCAAUUUUUCUGAUGCUUCUGUUGUCCCCAGGGGACACAACCCAGCUGACCCCGCAUCUGUCAUAGAGGCACGCAAGUUAGAAGCAAGCAUCAUCAGCAGCUGGGUGAAAUCUGCAAGGAUGGAAAGAGCAUGGGAGAAACGCUCCGGAGCGCCGGGCGGCGGCUGGCAGUGAGCGCAGCCAUGGGAGCCGUGCUCAGGUGCUGCUGGGCUGCAGAGCAGAGCUGUGCCUCUGGAGAAGGUGCUGCCUCCUCUGCCCCAGUAAUGGAAAUUCAAGCAGGAGAAGAAAACCAAAAAGCCAAAUUACUGACUGAAGUCAGAAUCAUGUUGCAUGGGUUUCAUGCUGUUCUGCUCAUAACGGGAAGGUGCUUGAAAUGGUGGAAACAAUAAAAUUUUCCUGAAGGCCAAGGAGUCAUUGCUGUCCUGAAGAAUGCGUUGGGUGACCAACUGCAGAUAUUGCAGAAUUACAGAACUGCAGGGGUUAGGAGGAUCCACUGAAGAUCCUGUUUGGUCCUACAGCAGGUUCCUUUGAGCAGGCUGCACGGAAGACAUCCAGGCAGCUGAACAGCCCCGGGGCUCUCAGCCUUUCCCCAUCAGGAG